GCCAUGCUUCCAAGAAAAGCUUCUAAGCUUCAGGUAACCAGGAACCGUACCCCAAACCGACACAGGUGGUCGGGUAGAGAAUACCAAGGCGCUUGAGAGAACUCGGGUGAAGGAACUAGGCGAAAUGGCACCGUAACUUCGGGAGAAGGUGCGCCGGCUAGGGUGAAGGAUUUACUCCGUAAGCUCUGGCUGGUCGAAGAUACCAGGCCGCUGCGACUGUUUAUUAAAAACACAGCACUCUGCAAACACGAAAGUGGACGUAUAGGGUGUGACGCCUGCCCGGUGCCGGAAGGUUAAUUGAUGGGGUUAGCGCAAGCGAAGCUCUUGAUCGAAGCCCCGGUAAACGGCGGCCGUAACUAUAACGGUCCUAAGGUAGCGAAAUUCCUUGUCGGGUAAGUUCCGACCUGCACGAAUGGCGUAACGAUGGCGGCGCUGUCUCCACCCGAGACUCAGUGAAAUUGAAAUCGCUGUGAAGAUGCAGUGUAUCCGCGGCUAGACGGAAAGACCCCGUGAACCUUUACUGUAGCUUUGCACUGGACUUUGAGCCUGCUUGUGUAGGAUAGGUGGGAGGCUUUGAAGCGUGGACGCCAGUUCGCGUGGAGCCAUCCUUGAAAUACCACCCUGGCAUGCUUGAGGUUCUAACUCUGGUCCGUAAUCCGGAUCGAGGACAGUGUAUGGUGGGCAGUUUGACUGGGGCGGUCUCCUCCUAAAGAGUAACGGAGGAGUACGAAGGUGCGCUCAGACCGGUCGGAAAUCGGUCGCAGAGUAUAAAGGCAAAAGCGCGCUUGACUGCGAGACAGACACGUCGAGCAGGUACGAAAGUAGGUCUUAGUGAUCCGGUGGUUCUGUAUGGAAGGGCCAUCGCUCAACGGAUAAAAGGUACUCCGGGGAUAACAGGCUGAUACCGCCCAAGAGUUCAUAUCGACGGCGGUGUUUGGCACCUCGAUGUCGGCUCAUCACAUCCUGGGGCUGAAGCCGGUCCCAAGGGUAUGGCUGUUCGCCAUUUAAAGUGGUACGCGAGCUGGGUUUAGAACGUCGUGAGACAGUUCGGUCCCUAUCUGCCGUGGACGUUUGAGAUUUGAGAGGGGCUGCUCCUAGUACGAGAGGACCGGAGUGGACGAACCUCUGGUGUUCCGGUUGUCACGCCAGUGGCAUUGCCGGGUAGCUAUGUUCGGAAAAGAUAACCGCUGAAAGCAUCUAAGCGGGAAACUUGCCUCAAGAUGAGAUCUCACUGGGAACUUGAUUCCCCUGAAGGGCCGUCGAAGACUACGACGUUGAUAGGCUGGGUGUGUAAGCGUUGUGAGGCGUUGAGCUAACCAGUACUAGUUGCCCGUGAGGCUUGAUC
rnacentral:rRNA from 1 species